rnacentral:rRNA from 1 species
GUGGGGAAUAUUGGACAAUGGGGGGAACCCUGAUCCAGCCAUGCCGCGUGUGUGAAGAAGGCCUUUUGGUUGUAAAGCACUUUAAGCGAGGAGGAGGCUACCGAGAUUAAUACUCUUGGAUAGUGGACGUUACUCGCAGAAUAAGCACCGGCUAACUCUGUGCCAGCAGCCGCGGUAAUACAGAGGGUGCAAGCGUUAAUCGGAUUUACUGGGCGUAAAGCGCGCGUAGGUGGCCAAUUAAGUCAAAUGUGAAAUCCCCGAGCUUAACUUGGGAAUUGCAUUCGAUACUGGUUUGCUAGAGUAUGGGAGAGGAUGGUAGAAUUCCAGGUGUAGCGGUGAAAUGCGUAGAGAUCUGGAGGAAUACCGAUGGCGAAGGCAGCCAUCUGGCCUAAUACUGACACUGAGGUGCGAAAGCAUGGGGAGCAAACAGGAUUAGAAACCCUAGUAGUCC